rnacentral:rRNA from 1 species
AGUGAACGCUGGCGGUAGGCCUAACACAUGCCAGUCGAACGGCAGCACAGUAAGAGCUUGCUCUUACGGGUGGCGAGUGGCGGACGGGUGAGGAAUACAUCGGAAUCUACUUUUUCGUGGGGGAUAACGUAGGGAAACUUACGCUAAUACCGCAUACGACCUACGGGUGAAAGCAGGGGAUCUUCGGACCUUGCGCGAUUAAAUGAGCCGAUGUCGGAUUAGCUAGUUGGCGGGGUAAAGGCCCACCAAGGCGACGAUCCGUAGCUGGUCUGAGAGGAUGAUCAGCCACGCUGGAACUGAGACACGGUCCAGACUCCUACGGGAGGCAGCAGUGGGGAAUAUUGGACAAUGGGCGCAAGCCUGAUCCAGCCAUACCGCGUGGGUGAAGAAGGCCUUCGGGUUGUAAAGCCCUUUUGUUGGGAAAGAAAAGCAGCAGGUUAAUACCCCGCUGUUCUGACGGUACCCAAAGAAUAAGCACCGGCUAACUUCGUG